rnacentral:rRNA from 1 species
AAUAAUAAUUAAAAAGGUAGUAAUAAAUAAUAAAACCUAUAAAGCUUGGCAGUUAUACUAAACUAGAGAAACUUGUUUCUUAAUCGAUAACACUCGAUAAUUUUAACUUAUUAACCAAAAUCUAUAUACCGCCGUUUACAGAAAUGAUAAAAAUUAAAUUUCAAAAUAAUUAAAAAUUAAAAAAUCAGGUCAAGGUAUAGUCAACAUAUAAGAGUAAAUUAGUUACAUAUAAGUAAUACUUAAGAACUAGAGAAUAAAAAUUCUCCUAAAAAAGAAUCUAUAAACAACAUUUUUUUAAAAUAAAAUAAUGAAAUAUAAAACUAUAAUGC